rnacentral:lncRNA from 1 species
AUUGAGAAGCUGAAGCGUGGUUUUGGUAUGCACGUCCCUGAAGAGUUUAGGUAGCUGGAUAUAAUGCGGGGUUCCUUCAUUUCUAAUAAUCAGUUUAAUCACCUCCCUCGGAGCUACCUAUUGGAGGGCAAGUUUGUGAUUUCUACUAAACUUGACAUGGACGCUUUUUAAGUAGUACUUGGAGUGUUGGUGAGCAGCAGAUGUAGCACUCAAGCUGUGAUCACAUGAUCUUGUGGUUGUACUAUUGAUGACCUUGGUCCUACUAAUUUAGUUUAUUUGCUGAAAGCUAUGUUUGGAAAUGAUGCAAUCUGCGAGGCAACACUAAUUUCUGUGCAGCCUGUACUUAUGAGUGUUAUUGUCUUGAUGUAUUUUUCUCACCACGGGAAGCCUUAGGUAUACGUACAAUUAUCGCCUUGUAAUAUGUUCGUAGUGCUAUACUUCUCUAAUAUAUUUAUAUAUGUAAAUAUAUAUGUUACUCUUGUAUCAUCUCUUCCUAGUAUCAUAUGGUGCUUUGCUUCCGUGAGCUUGUGUAUUAGAAGUUGUUAAAUAUUGUGUAUUAGAAGUUGUUAAAUAUUCAUUCGUGGCGGCCAUGUCUGCACCCAAGCUCAAAUGAGCUAUGUUGAACCGUAAAAUCAGAAAUAUAUAUAAAAAGAUCUAGUUUCAUUAUGGUAAACUAUGACAAAUGUUCUAAGAGUUUGCAAUAUUUCAUCACAAAAUCACAUUUGGAGUUGUAGCGAAAAAACAAAAUUGAUACUCUAAAAAUGCUAUUAUCGAAAGCAUUUUAAAGCACUAAUUUUGUUUUUUCGUCAUCACUUUAAUAAAUGUGUUUUAGUGAUGAAAUUUUGAAACCUUUUAGAACAUUUAUCAUAAACAAGUUCAGCUUUUUUGAAAUAUUUUAAAUAUUUUCGGAGUUGUUAAUCUCGGCUUAUUUGAGCUGUGGUGUAGAAAGGCAUUUUUGACACGCUUGUUAUCUAUAUGACCAAAUCCUAACUGAGCUUGCUCGUAGUUGCACAAAUUUGACAUUGCUUGUGGCACUCUGUGUUCAUAUCUUCGCUCUGUUGUUCGUCAUGGAAAAAAAAUUAGGGCAAGCGUGUGAAGGCUAUGAAAAGCCACUUUGGAUUUGCAGGAAGUUUUGCGGUGGAUAAUGAAGGCUUAAGUGGUGGCAUUGGUCUUUUCUGGUCCAAAGAUGUUGAUGUGGAACUAUUUUUUUAGUACCGACCACAUUGAUGUUGUGGUGUGGAACAAGGAUCAUCUUUCUCGUGAAUGGUGUUUUACGAGUUUCUAUGGAGCUUCGAAAGUCAAUGCUAAUCUCCGUUAGAGCGGUGUGGAGGCACAAUGCUCCCCAAGAUGCCACUAAGGCCACCGUAAUAUCCUCACGCCCUCGCAGAAUGCAAGAUGCCGUGAUUCCACUAAGGGACCCUUGAGGGCGGUCACCGAACCCGUACAAAUGGCAAACCUUGGGGGCGGUCACCGAACCCGUACACGUGGCAACCCUUGGGGGCGGUUACCGGUACCCGUACAAAUUGCUCGGGGCUAUCUCCACAACCUAAUUGGAGGCCCCGACGCUUGCCUGGAGCUUCACACCACAAUGAUUGAGCUCCGAGACACCACCAAGCUUCUAGUAUGCCAAAGCAUCCACGAAGAACAAUAUCUAGGGUACUAAGUACCAAAGGUAGUAAGCUUCUCAACUUCUCACUUCCACGUAUCACCGUGGAGAACUCAAACUGAUGCAACUAACGCAAUGGCAAGAACACACAAAGUGGUCAAGUCCCUCACACUCAAAUCCCUCCACAACAACAAAAGCUAUGGAGAAAUAUGAGAGGAAGAACAAGGAGCUCACAAAGAACUCCAAGAUCUAGAUCCAAGGGGUUCCCCUCACAUAGAGGAGAAAGUGAUUGGUGGAGAUGUGGAUCUAGAUCUCCUCUCUCUUUUCCCUCAAGAACAAGCAAGAAUCAUUGGAGGGAUUGAGAGUUAGCAAGCUCUAAGAAUGUCAACAAUGGAGGUAGAACAAGAGCUCAACGGAUAGAUGAGGCCAAGGGGGAAGAAGACCCCCUUUAUAUAGUGGGGGAAGGAAUCAGACCGUUACCCCCACUAUCUGCCCGAGCUCCAGCGGUACUACCGCCAACUAGCGGUACUACCGCUGGCCCGAGCGGUACUACCGCUGGGCCCCUGGUAGUGCAAAGGCACUACCACCGCCAAGAAAGUCUUCGCAAAAAGGUCCGUCCACGAACAACCGCUAGGCAAGCGGCACUAACCUCCUGGAGCGGUACUACCGCUGACCAGUGGCGAUACUACCGCCAGCCAGCGGUACUACCGCUAGGGCCAGUGGUACUACCGCCAACUCUAGCGGUACUACCGCUAGGUCCAGCGGUACUACCGCUCGCCACUGAAACAGCCAUAACUUUCGCAUACGAGCUCCGAAUCGAGCAAACCAAGGCUUGUUGGAUUCAGGACGACAAGAGCUAUCCAAACAGCCUUUCUCAUGGCAAACAUCCUUUAGGAAGUGUACAUAGAUUUAACACUGAACCCCUUUUUUCCCUAGCAUCCACACCUUCAUCAGUCAAUGUGGUGGAGUGGCAAACAUCCAGUAGGCCUUGCCAUUGCACAGCCAAUUCCCCCCGCAAGCAUCUAUGAGAUUGGAGACAUGUCCCUUGAGAGUGAACAACUUAUAAACAAUUGACAGUUUUGCCAAAUGUAAGGUUAUAUAGACUUUUAAAUCUGGAAAUAAUAGAUGGCAUCCAUGUGAUUGGCAAUUAAAACCAUGUUUGCUUAGUUUUGAGUCCGUCUGUUCUCGGUGGUGCGAGCUCAUGCUGCAUUUUGAGAUUGUGUACAUAAGAUGGUAAGACUGUUUGUAGGAGGAACUGGCUAGAGCCAUGGAUAUCUUAAGGUGGAGAAACAAGUAAACAUCCAUGGAUACCAGCUAAGGGAAUGUAAUGGAAGAUAAUCCAUGGAUACCAGCUAAGGGAAUGUAAUGGAAGAUAAAUUCUACAUAGUUUGCCAUGGAUUUUCAGUCAUGUCCUAAGCCACAUAUACUCUAUGUGCCCCCUGGCUUUCUGUUGGGCCUUGUAUAUUUGGUUUCUGGGAAGUACCGAGUUAGAAGAAAACUGUGCUAAGUGCUUACCUAGCAUAUAUUACCAGCCAUCCUCGUUAAGUGAAGUGCCAUUUGGAACACUAUUUUGAGCCAUAAUACAGUUUUACCUAUGACAAUGACUUGUUUCUCCUAGUCACAACUCUCCAAUCUUUAGCAUGAACUAACCUUAUUUGACACUCAAGUUUAACUGUACUUCCAAGUUUUUGAAGUUGAUUCGAGAAGUUCACUCUCUCCAAUCCAGGAUGUAGGAGAGUUGGGCACAUGAUUAAUGGUGUAGGUAGCAAUGUUACCAUUUAUUUGUUUCUACAAUAAAUACAAGUGCUAGAGUUUCUUGUGGCAGCACAAUCAAUACUAGAGUUAUUACUAAUACUUGAUGAAACUAAUGAGGCGCUAAAUAAGCACACCAUGAGCAGAAAUAUGAUGUACUAAACUACCAGGCCUUAUUUGUCAGUUGAAAAGGCUAAACCACAAUUUUCCGUAUUUGCCAGUCAUUGCUACUAAAUCUCGUUAGACUAAAUUAUCAGUUCCUCUAUAUCCGCAACCCGAGCCUUCAAGUUCAAAACCUUAUCUAGUCUAGAUUAAAUAAAUAUCACAUGUCACAAAGUAAAGCGAAGCAAUUGGUCUUUCCUUGUGCUUUCUAUUAGAACAGUCUCUUUCUAUCUGUGUUCCUGUAUUAUUCAGCUGCCACAUUUUGGUUCUUUAAUUGUCAACAAGUCCAAGUUUUUCAGCCACUUUGAUGCAUUUGGAUUUAGCAAUUUCAGUUAUUACGUACACGAGUCUUUCUUGAUUAUAUUGCUUUCAAUAUGGUUAUCAUAUCUACUCACAGUCAUCUCCCUUUUGCUGAAUAGAAUUGAGAAGCUGAAGCGUGGUUUUGGUAUGCACGUCCCUGAAGAGUUUAGGUAGCUGGAUAUAAUGCGGGGUUCCUGCAUUUCUAAUAAUCAGUUUAAUCACCUCCCUCGGAGCUACCUAUUGGAGGGCAAGUUUGUGAUUUCUACUGAACUUGACAUGGACGCUUUUUAAGUAGUACUUGGAGUGUUGGUGAGCAGCAGAUGUAGCACUCAAGCUGUGAUCACAUGAUCUUGUGGUUGUACUAUUGAUGACCUUGGUCCUACUAAUUCAGUUUAUUUGCUGAAAGCUAUGUUUGGAAAUGAUGCAAUCUGCCAGGCAACAAUAAUUUCUCUGGAGCCUGUACUUAUUAGUGUUAUUGUCUUGAUGUAUUUUCUCACCACGGGAAGCCUUAGGUAUACGUACAAUUAUCGGCUUGUAAUAUGUUCCUAGUGCUAUACUUCUCUAAUAUAUUUAUAUAUGUUACUCUUGCAUCUCUUCCUAGUAUCAUAUGGUGCUCUGCUUCCGUGAGCUUGUGUAUUAGAAGUUGUUAAAUAUUGUGUAUUAGAAGUUGUUAAAUAUUGAUUGGUGGCGGCCAUGUCUGCACCCGAGCUCAAAUGAGCUAUGUUGAACCAUAAAAUCAGAAAUAUAUAUAAAAAGAUCUAGUUUCAUUAUGGUAAACUAUGACAAAUGUUCUAAGAGUUUGCAAUAUUUCAUCACAAAAUCACAUUUGGAGUUGUAGCAAAAAAACAAAAUUGAUACUCUAAAAAUGCUAUUAUCGAAAGCAUUUUAAAGCACUAAUUUUGUUUUAUUGUCAUCACUUUCAUAAAUGUGAUUUAGUGAUGAAAUUUUGAAACCUUUUAGAACAUUUAUCAUAAAAAAGUUCAGCUUUUUUGAAAUAUUUUAAAUAUUUUCGGAGUUGUUAAUCUCGGCUUAUUUGAGCUCUGGUGUAGAAAGGCAUUUUUGACACGCUUGUUAUCUAUAUGACCAAAUCCUAACUGAGCUUGCUCGUAGUUGCGCAAAUUUGACAUUGCUUGUGGCACUCUGUGUUCAUAUCUUCGCUCUGUUGUUUGUCAUGGAAAAAAAUGUUGAUGUGGAACUAUUUUUUUUAGUACCGACCACAUUGAUGUUGUGGUGUGGAAGAAGGAUCAUCUUUCUCGUGAAUGGUGUUUUACGAGUUUCUAUGGAGCUUCGAAAGUCAAUGCUAAUCUCCGUUAGAGCGGUGUGGAGGCACAAUGCUCCCCAAGAUGCCACUAAGGCCACCGUAAUCUCCUCACGCCCUCGCACAAUGCAAGAUGCUGUGAUUCCACUAAGGGACCCUUGAGGGCGGUCACCGAACCCGUACAAAUGGCAAACCUUGGGGGCGGUCACCGAACCCGUACACGUGGCAACCCUUGGGGGUGGUUACCGGUACCCGUACAAAUUGCUCGGGGCUAUCUCCACAACCUAAUUGGAGGCCCCGACGCUUGCCCGGAGCUUCACACCACAAUGAUUGAGCUCCGAGCCACCACCAAGCUUCUAGGAUGCCAAAGCAUCCACGAAGAACAAUAUCUAGGGUACUAAGUACCAAAGGUAGUAAGCUUCUCAACUUCUCACUUCCACGUAUCACCGUGGAGAACUCAAACGAAGCAACUAAUGCAAUUGCAAGAACACACGAAGUGGUCAAGUCCCUCACACUCAAAUCCCUCCACAACAAAAAAGCUAUGGAGAAAUAUGAGAGGAAGAACAAGGAGCUCACAAAGAACUCCAAGAUCUAGAUCCAAGGGGUUCCCCUCACAUAGAGGAGAAAGUGAUUGGUGGAGAUGUGGAUCUAGAUCUCCUCUCUCUUUUCCCUCAAGAACAAGCAAGAAUCAUUCGAGGGAUUGAGAGUUAGCAAGCUCUAAGAAUGUCAACAAUGGAGGUAGAACAAGAGCUCAACGGAUAGAUCAGGCCAAGGGGGAAGAAGACCCCCUUUAUAUAGUGGGGGAAGGAAUGACACCGUUACCCCCACUAUCUGCCCGAGCUCCAGCGGUACUACCGCUGAUUGCAGCGGUACUAGCGCCAGCGAGUGGUACUACCACUGGCUGCAGCGGUACUACCGCUGGCCCGAGCGGUACUACCGCUGGGCCCCUGGUAGUGCAAAGGCACUACCAUCGCCAAGAAAGUCUUCGCAAAAAGGUCCGUCCACGAACAACCGCUAGGCAGGCGGUACUAAGCUCCUGGAGCGGUACUACCGUUGACCAAUGGCGGUACUACCGCCAACCAGCGGUACUACCGCUAGGGCUAGCGGUACUACCGCCAACUCUAGCGGUACUACCGCUAGGUCCCGCGGUACUACCGCUCGACACUGAAACAACCAUAACUUUCGGAUACGAGCUCCGAAUCGAGCAAACCCAAGCUUGUUGGAUUCAGGACGACAAGAGCUAUCCAAACAGCCUUUCUCAUGGCAAACAUCCUUUAGGAAGUGUACAUAGAUUUAACACUGAACCUCUUUUUUCCCUAGCAUCCACACCUUCAUCAGUCAAUGUGGUGGAGUGGCAAACAUCCAGUAGGUCUUGCCAUUGCACAACCAAUUCCCCCCGCAAGCAUCUAUGAGAUUGGAGACAUGUCCCUUGAGAGUGAACAACUUAUAAACAAUUGACAUUUUUGCCAAAUGUAAGGUUAUAUAGACUUUGAAAUCUGGAAAUAAUAGAUGGCAUCCAUGUGAUUGGCAAUUAAAACCAUGUUUGCUUAGUUUUGAGUCCGUCUGUUCUCGGUGGUGCGAGCUGAUGCUGCAUUUUGAGAUUGUGUACAUAAGACGGUAAGACUGUUUGUAGGAGGAACUGGCUAGAGCCAUGGAUAGCUUAAGGUGGAUACCAGCUAAGGGAAUGUAAUGGAAGAUAAUCCAUGGAUACCAGCUAAGGGAAUGUAAUGGAAGAUAAAUUCUACAAAGUUUGCCAUGGAUUUUGAGUCAUGUCCUAAGCCACGUAUACUCUAUGUGCCCCCUGGCUUUCUGUUGGGCCUUGUAUAUUUGGUUUCUGGGAAGUACCGAGUUAGAAGAAAACUGUGCUAAGUGCUUAACUAGCAUAUAUUACCAGCCAUCCUCGUUAGUGAAGUGCCAUUUGGAACACUAUUUUGAGCCAUAAUACACUUUUACCUAUGACAAUGACUUGUUUCUCCUAGUCACAACUCUCCAAUCUUUAGCAUGAACUAACCUUAUUAGACACUCAACUUUAACUGUACUUCCAAGUUUUUGAAGUUGAUUCGAGAAGUUCACUCUCUCCAAUCCAAGAUGUAGGUUUCUUUUAGAGUUGGGCACAGGAUUAAUAGUGUAGGUAGCAAUGUUACCAUUUAUUUGUUUCUACAAUAAAUACAAGUGCUAGAGUUUCUUUUGGCAGCACAAUCAAUACUAGAGUUAUUACUAAUACUCGAUGAAACUAAUGAGGCGCUAAAUAAGCACACCAUGAGCAGAAAUGUGAUGUACUACAGUACUAGGCCUUAUUUGUCAGUUGAAAAGGCUAAACCACAAUUUUCCGUAUUUCCCAGUCAUUGCUGCUAAAUCUCGUUAGACUAAAUUAUCAGUUCCUCUAUAUCCGCAACCCCAGCCUUCAAGUUCUAAACCUUAUCUAGUCUAGAUUAAAUGAAUAUCACAUGUCACAAAGUAAAGCGAAGCAAUUGGUCUUUCCUUGUGCUUUCUAUUGGAACAGUCUCUUUCUAUCUGUGUUCCUGUAUUAUUCAGCUGCCACAUUUUGGUUCUUUAAUUGUCAACAAGUCCAAGUUUUUGCAGCCACUUUGAUGCAUUUGGAUUUAGCAAUUUCAGUUAUUACGUACACGAGUCUUUCUUGAUUAUAUUGCUUUCAAUAUGGUUAUCAUAUCUACUCACAGUCAACUCCCUUUUGCUGAAUAGAAUUGAGAAGCUGAAACGUGGUUUUGGUAUGCACAUCCCUGAAGAGUUUAGGUAGCUGGAUAUAAUGCGGGGUUACUGCAUUUCUAAUAAUCAGUUUAAUCACCUCCCUCGGAGCUAGCUAUUGGAGGGCAAGUUUGUGAUUUCUGCUGAACUUGACAUGGACGCUUUUUAAGUAGUACUUGGAGUGUUGGUGAGCAGCAGAUGUAGCACUCAAGCUGUGAUCACAUGAUCUUGUGGUUGUACUAUUGAUGACCUUGGUCCUACUAAUUCAGUUUAUUUGCUGAAAGCUAUGUUUGGAAAUGAUGCAAUCUGCCAGGCAACACUAAUUUCUCUGCAGCCUGUACUUAUGAGUGUUAUUGUCUUGAUGUAUUUUCUCACCACGGGAAGCCUUAGGUAUACGUAAAAUUAUCGUCUUGUAAUAUGUUCCUAGUGCUAUACUUCUCUAAUAUAUUUAUAUAUGUAAAUAUAUAUGUUACUCUUGUAUCAUCUCUUCCUAGUAUCAUAUGGUG